rnacentral:sRNA from 1 species
GCCAGGCGUGGUGGCGCACACCUGUAAUCCCAGCGCCUCAGGAGGCUGAGGCAGGAGGAUCAAGAGUUCAAUUCCAGCCUCAGCAACAGUGGGAUGCUUAAGUAACUCAGUGAGACCCUGUCUCUA